rnacentral:rRNA from 1 species
UACGGAGGGUGCGAGCGUUGUCCGGAUUUAUUGGGUUUAAAGGGUGCGUAGGUGGGUUGAUAAGUCAGUGGUGAAAUCCGGUUGCUCAACAAUCGCUGUGCCAUUGAUACUGUUGAUCUUGAAAUACUUGGAGGCUGCCGGAAUGGAUGGUGUAGCGGUGAAAUGCAUAGAUAUCAUCCAGAACGCCGAUUGCGAAGGCAGGUGGCUACGAGUGAUUUGACACUGAUGCACGAAAGCAUGGGUAGCGAACAGG